UUAUACGAACGGAUAAGUAAAUUGAAAUCACAACUUAUGAAAUCACAACCGAAGGUAAUCAAUUCAUAUUACAAAUAUAUUCAUGGCUUUGAAUUAACCUCUAGCCAAAAUAAAUUUAAUUACACAUUAUUAAAACAAAAAUAAAAUAGAAGUUUGAAAAGAUUUAACCGAGAGAAAUGGAGUGAAGCCUCUAAUUUUCUUCUCACUGUGCCCGUCAGUCUCCCUUCUCCCCGUGUCUAUCUCCUCUCCUGCCUCUGCGAGCUGACCUCCUGACCUCUCUCCCUCUCCACGUCUGCGAGCUUCACGCUUCCCUUCUCUCCGUAGCUUCACGCUGCCCAAAGGGCAGCCCUCUGCCUUCCACCAAUUCCCCUUACUGACCACCCUUCACCCCAGUCCUUGCUGACCUUCUCUCCUUCCUGCGUCUCUGCGAGCUGCCCAAAGGGCAGCCCCUUUCUCCCGCUCCAAGACCGCCCUUCUCUACAUACCUCUGAUUUCCUUUUAUUUCCUCCUUCUCCUCACUACUGCUGUCCGUCCCUUUUUCCAUCCUCCCACAUGCUGCUUCUUCCACGCUUGACCUUUCCAGCUGCCAAAGGCAGCCCUCUCUCCUUUUCUGUCUUCUUUUCUACCGCUGCCCUUCACGUUCUCCAGCUCUCUUCCUCACGUUUUUUUUUCUUGGAUUCUUCCUUUUUCCCAGCUGCAAAGCAGCUUUCUUUCUGGCUUUCAACCCCACGUUUCACUCAUUCUUGAAAUUGUUUUCAUUCGUGGGGCCCUCCAAAGUAUGACGCAAAACAGAUGCUAAUUUGCAACUUUUACACAUUUGUCGGCUAGUUGCUGGUUUUGUAGCCCAAAUACAACUCCCAUUCAAGCAAGAGGUCUAAAUGUGGCUAUACAUCUCCCCGUACUGUCUUCGAACCCCUCUUUUAUUUUUCUUUUCGUCUCGUAUGCCUUCCUGGCAGCUGUCCUUGGAUUCUAUAGUACAAAACUAAUUUGUAUCAUAAACUCUAAAUUAGUAACAGUUGGGAAUUAAGAACAAAUUCAAGUAACAAAUCCAAAACCAAUAUUCUAUGAAACAAUCAAUUCAAUGCAUAUAAAAUAAACCAAAAUAAACCAAAAUAAAACCCAAUCAAAAAUUAAAACCAAUAUUCUUUCUGUUUAUUAUUUAAAACUCAUUUAUGCUAUUUUUAUUUUCUUUGCAUAACAGAUCCUAUAAACACAAAAAUAACGUAAAUAGCUCAAAAAUAUAUUGAACUAACUAAGAAAAGACGAGUGAAUUCGAAGUAAAAAUAUAUAUAAAUAUGAUCCGAUCAGCUACACAAGGCUCAACGGGGUUAAACUUAAACACAUAAUGAAAUAGGGCACGACAAUUUGGCUGUGGUGGUCACUACACAACUUCAUCUUGAAUAUGUGUUAUGCAAAUCAAUAACAUGCUUUGAAUGAAAUAGGCAUGAGUUCUAGUAUUUGGAACUAAAUGAUGAAACGCAUUCUAAAUAGCAACCAAGCAAAGAAUAAUGAGAUAAUGCAAUGACUUUAGAAAACAAUGAUGCACAGAUUCUUAAUUCUCCAAAUAAACGUUUAGGCUCAAGUCUCACAAGGUUAUAGCGUUCAUUUAAGUUCCUUCUUUCAAGCAUGUUACAAAAACUGAUUUUUUUUUUCUUUAUGAUUGCAUGUGAAUUCAUAAAUUAUAACCACAGCCAAGCAUACACCAAAUAAUAAAUCAAAUUUUCAUCCAUGUUUAUAACUCUCUUUAACAGUCAUGUAAUUAAAAACCAAAUCCUCAUCAUUGUGUUGGAAGGUACCCUAAGACACAAAUAAACAUACAAAAACAACUAUUUUUGGGUUUUUCAAAACAAUUUUUCAAAUUUUUAUGUCAAAACACACUGAAACACUCCAAAACUGCUUAAAACACUUAAAACAACAAGGAACAACACUAAAAGUAAUGGGUGAUAAACUCCUACGAAUUUCAUGAAAAACAAUGGUUACCCCCCCCCCCAACACCUAAAUCAAACAUUGUCCUCAAUGUUUCAAGCAUAAACUCACACAAAAAAUAAGCAAACAAACAAACAACGAAUAAACAUGACAAGUAUGGCAAAGUAAAAACCAGACAGAGUAGAGUUUAAGAACGCAAAUCUGGUUUUGGAGAUAGAUGUAAGUAGGGAUCGUUCUAGGCUGGGGAUUAGGAGGGAUUGCUAAAACACUUGAAACUGACUUAAAAAUGUAAAAUUAAGUUUAAAACACCAAACUAGACUCAAAAGAUGCAAUACAAACUAAAAAGACUCAAAACUAGUUUAAAAGACUCAAAACUACUUAAAACAAUGAAUUAGACUCUUAACUGACUCUAGGGAUGGUUUUGGACGAAAUUAGGUUCUAACUUGACUCAAGACACCUAAAAACACAAAUCAAAACAGAUUUUGACUAAUAAAACACUUUAAAGUAAAGGGGGAUUUGAUUUUGAUGAAUUUGAAAACAAAACAAAUAGAUUGUAAACUAAAACAGAUUUUGGACGAAUUUGGGUAAACUAUGGAUGAUGGGCUAGCUAGAGGGUUCUUCUCCACACAUGACAUACUUGCACAUAAACCAAUUUUUCAGUUGUUCUUUCGAUCAAUCAUGAAACUCAACACCCCAGGUUAAUUAAGUCCGCUUAAAUUAACCUUCAAGUUCUCCUUAAGUUAUUGAAUUGGAUGGGAAAGCGCAUACAACAAUUCAAGCAUUCUUCAAAAGUUCUUUACAUGAACAACACAAUAAAGAUACAAUCAAAGAUUAUAAAGCAUUAUGAAAACUAUAAGUAUUGACAAGGCAUUCGUUACUAUGAUGAGCAUGAAACCCUUGCCAAGAAUUCAUUUAAUGCGAUCGUUUAUAGGUAACCUCCGCUACUUCUGAAUAUAAGUUUGUAACUAUUGGGUGAAACACCCUUAUACUCUAGCAUCAUAUUCAUGCAUGCAAACUAAGUGUGCACUCUUAAUAAACAUGCACGAAUAAGUUAUCAAUCAAGCAGUUAAAUAAAUUGAAUUCACAACUUAUGAAAUCACAACUAAAGGUAAUCAAUUCAUAUUGCAAGUAUGUUCAUGGCUUUGAAUCCCCCCUAGCUAAGGGGGGUUUAGCUCCUCAUACUCACAAAGCAAAGACAAACAAAUUUAGAUAUUGAAAACAAAGAAUGAAAACACCUAAAAACGCUCCAACAAUCCAACUUGAAUGGCAAGCACGUCCAAGGGUCCUCCUUCUUCUCUUUGUUGCGGCACAAGGUGUGGUUUUAUGGAUGAGUGGUAGAUUAUGGUGGUGGAUAGAUAUAGGUGAGUUAUGGUGAAGGGUGGAUGGGUGGAUUGUGUUCUCUCGGCCAAGGAAUGAAAGUGUAAGUGUAUGGAGUUAUGAGAUAUGAAUGUAGUGUCUUUGGAUGGAUCUUUUUGUUGGAAAUGUGCCCUAAAACCAAUCAUAUGAUGAUACUUUACUAACAUUUCAUAUGUUAAACUAAUCUAGUUUAAUAUCAAGGGCAAAGAUUAUUGUUUUAAGCCGUUUCAUAUAAGUGUUAUAUGCUUAAACGAUAAGUCCAAGGAAUAUGUAAUUAGGAGAAUGUAAUUUAAACAAGUUAGAUUUAUAACCAUUCUCUUUCGUAUACAUAUCUGAUAGGAGCAUAUUUAUGCGACUUAAUUGUCUUGUUCUCGUGCAUUUACGUUGUGUUUCCUUAGUUAUUUUAGUGUUUAAAGCCAUUUUCAUUUGUUUGUAGGUCUUAAUAACAACCUUGGCAAGAAAAGUGCAUUGUGGUGCAUGUUGUAUCAAUAUUGGGUUGAAAUGGAUUGCAUGCAUGAGGAUGGACGUUUUGGGCAUAUGUG
rnacentral:lncRNA from 1 species